rnacentral:rRNA from 1 species
UACAGAGGGUGCGAGCGUUAAUCGGAAUUACUGGGCGUAAAGCGUGCGCAGGCGGCGCGUUAAGACAGGUGUGAAAGCCCCGAGCUUAACUUGGGAAUUGCGCUUGUGACUGGCGUGCUGGAGUGUGGCAGAGGGAGGUGGAAUUCCACGUGUAGCAGUGAAAUGCGUAGAGAUGUGGAGGAACACCGAUGGCGAAGGCAGCCUCCUGGGCCAGCACUGACGCUCAUGCACGAAAGCGUGGGGAUCAAACAGG